CCGUAUACAUCCUCACGGUAAGAUCCUGUUAAAAUAAGUGCACACACGUGUAGAGAUCCUGCGGGUGAGUUCAGUCCGGGCCAAGUAAGCGAGAUAUCUCUCUCCUUUUUGUGUAUGUGUGAGUGGGGGUGGGGGUCGCGCACAAACACAACUAGAAGAUUCGCCCUGGUAGGCGCAGGCAGCUGUCACCUUACACCCAUGGAGGAGGCAUGGGCUGCGGCGGCCAUUCUCAACUUAUCUCUAGGAUCUUUGUAAACAUGUCGUGAAAUCCGAGUAUUCAAGCAGUGGCGUAGAUCGCGAGGUGGAAGGACCCGUCGGAGUCUUCUCGAAGCUUCGAACUCAAGACUUGCCAGACAAGAACCGCAGCAACGUGAAACAUAAUACAAGUUGCACCAGCCAGUCCUAAGCUCAGCCAUGCGAAGCAGCCAGCGGCUAAGGAACGCGACGUACGAAUCAGAUUACAUCUUGCGUUGGCUGCUUAUCUUUAUUCUUCACCUUACCUCGCUUCAAUUCACUUCAUUUCGCUUCAGUGACAACCCUUCGAUCGGCAUCUUAUAACCGGCUCGUGAUACAUAUUCGUCCUUGGACGCAGCUCUUAAACGAUCAAAACUUUCGACGAUCAGCACUUUAAACGAUCAAAAACUACACUUUCACUAUUUAAUAAUUUUACAUUUUGUUGAGCACCUUCUGCAAGUAUCUGCUUGCAGAGAACAAUAAGCAAGGUUGUAUCAAAUGAUAACUACAUUGUAACGUCAAAUAAAAUACAAAUAUCCAUCAA